AUUUCCCUACGGGACGCAGCAGUGGGGAAUAUUGGACAAUGGGGGGAACCCUGAUCCAGCGGCGCCGCGUGAGUGAAGAAGUAUUUCGGUAUGUAAAGCUCUAUCAGCAGGGAAGAAAGAAAUGACGGUACCUGACUAAGAAGCCCCGGCUAACUACGUGCCAGCAGCCGCGGUGAUACGUAGGGGGCAAGCGUUAUCCGGAUUUACUGGGUGUAAAGGGAGCGUAGACGGCGAUGCAAGUCUGAAGUGAAAGGCGGGGGCCCAACCCCCGGACUGCUUUGGAAACUGUAUAGCUGGAGGGCAGG
rnacentral:rRNA from 1 species